rnacentral:tRNA from 1 species
GCAGUCGUGGCCGAGUGGACUAAAAAUCCAUUGGGGUCUCCCCGCACAGGUUCGAAUCCUGUCGACUGUG